UCAAACAAGUCGUAUAAGCCGAGAACUUUUCGCGGACUUUACAUCGAUACGAAUCAGGAAGAAAUCGCGACAGGAAAAACGAUAGCCGGUUAGUCGCCGCACAAUCCUUAAACCGAAAGUAAACCUAGGUCUUGCCCUAAACCCAGCGCACUGGUCUCUAACAUCUCGAAGGCAUGAUAUCGAAAGAUAAGAGAUUCUUAAACCACGCCUCUAUGUUACGUUCGAUACCUUCAGCGCCCCCGCGGAGUUCACAUCUCGCGGAAGAACUCUCGAAACAGGUCUCGAAUAAAACAUUUCACAAUCGAAGAAGGAUAUGAGACGACAACUCAUCACCUUCCUCCUCACUAUUCACAAAUUCAUAAAAAGCGUUAUCCGAUUAUCAUAUUAUAAAGCCGCAGAGCGGCAGGGAUUCAAAGCCACACACGGCCAGUCCCGAAAUACAAACAAGGCCAUUCAAGGCCAAAACAUAAAGACAUAAAAAAAAAAAAAAAAAAAAAAAUCUCUCGCAAGAGAUGUAACCCAAAUCACCCUCAGAACUUACGCCCCCUCUUCACCCGCCGCCUCGUCUGAGCAUGGAGCCGCGUCACUUCCAUUCUCUCCGACCAUCGGAUCUUUCCCCUCUGGGUCUUCUGAACACGUCGGAAGGAAGCAAGCGGAUUUUAGGUCAGCCAGGAUGAGACCGAAAUCGCCAUCCUCGGCCGCCAUAUCUCCCUUACAGCCGGACAGUCGGGCCUCUUCGGCCUCCAAGGUCGGGGGAGUCUCACUUUGGAACGACCGAACUACGGCCAUCCCGCCCUCAAUCGUCGCCAAAGCGAAAUCCCUGCUCCGGAUACACUCGAGGGAAUCCAGGGAAGCGGAAAUCUUCGCCAAGCGGACCUGAAACUCCGCGCGAAGGGCAUCCGUAGCCUCUUGGAUCCCGCGGCGCGCUAGUCCAGCGUCGCUCUCGAUUUGACGCUGGAGUCGACGCACUUCCGAGGAUUUGGCCUUCCUGGCCUUCUUUUCUUAAGUAAAGAACUCGCCGUCUUCCCGAGGUCCCUCUCAAGCUCUCCUAUCGCAACCUCGAGCUUCGACACUUUCGCAGAGUGAGAAUCCUCGACAGCCGUCAACAUAGCCUCGGUUUCGGACCAUCUCCCCUGAAGCUCCACCAACUCCCCGGAAAGACGACUGGUCUCAGAGCCGCAUUCGCUGAUCAUCCCAUCGAUCAACGAUAUGAACUGCGAACGGUAAAAAUUCCUAAGAUUAAGUCCGUAAAGAGAAUGCACGAAAGACGAUCGAGAAUUCAAACAAGAAACAAACCUUUCCACGAAGUCCCGAUGCUAGGCUCGACCCACCUC
rnacentral:lncRNA from 1 species